CCAAUGUGCUUGUUCGUUUUGCCACCCCAGGCUGAAGCGUAAAAGAAGAAAGAUGAGGCAGAGGUCCAAGUAAACCACUAGCUUGUGCACCCGUGGAGCCACAGGAGCAGAAAUAAUUCUGUUUUCAUUUGUGGCUGAAUGUAACACGUGUACAAUAAAUCAUCUCUUCUGCUGUCUUAGCUGAAGAAAAAAAAAAUGGUUUUGUCUGAUACGUGGUUUU
rnacentral:lncRNA from 1 species